rnacentral:rRNA from 1 species
UACGUAGGGUGCGAGCGUUGCCCGGAUUUAUUGGGCGUAAAGGGCGCGUAGGCGGCCACGCACGUCCGUUGUGAAAUCGCCCGGCUCAACUGGGCGGGGUCGGCGGAUACGGCGUGGCUGGAGCAAGCUAGAGGGCAAUGGAAUUCCCGGUGUAGUGGUGGAAUGCGUAGAUAUCGGGAGGAACACCAGUGGCGAAGGCGGUUGCCUGGAGCUUUGCUGACGCUGAGGCGCGAAAGCGUGGGGAGCGAUCCGG